rnacentral:rRNA from 1 species
GAUGAACGCUGGCGGCGUGCCUAAUACAUGCAAGUCGAGCGAACGGACGAGAAGCUUGCUUCUCUGAUGUUAGCGGCGGACGGGUGAGUAACACGUGGAUAACCUACCUAUAAGACUGGGAUAACUUCGGGAAACCGGAGCUAAUACCGGAUGAUAUUUUGAACCGCAUGGUUCAAAAGUGAAAGACGGUCUUGCUGUCACUUAUAGAUGGAUCCGCGCUGCAUUAGCUAGUUGGUAAGGUAAUGGCUUACCAAGGCAACGAUGCAUAGCCGACCUGAGAGGGUGAUCGGCCACACUGGAACUGAGACACGGUCCAGACUCCUACGGGAGGCAGCAGUAGGGAAUCUUCCGCAAUGGGCGAAAGCCUGACGGAGCAACGCCGCGUGAGUGAUGAAGGUCUUCGGAUCGUAAAACUCUGUUAUUAGGGAAGAACAUAUGUGUAAGUAACUGUACACAUCUUGACGGUACCUAAUCAGAAAGCCACGGCUAACUACGUG